AACCCAAAAACUUUGAUUUCUCGUAAGGUGCCGAGCGAGUCAGAAAAAGAACAUCGCCCGAUCCCUAGUCGGCAUAGUUUACGGUUAAGACUACGACGGUAUCUGAUCGUCUUCGAUCCCCUAACUUUCGUUCACUGAUUAAUGAAAACAUCCUUGGCAAAUGCUUUCGCAGUAGUUAGUCUUCAAUAAAUCCAAGAAUUUCACCUCUGACAAUUGAAUACUGAUGCCCCCGACUGUCCCUAUUAAUCAUUACGGCGGUCCUAGAAACCAACAAAAUAGGACCGCACGUCCUAUUCUAUUAUUCCAUGCUAACGUAUUCGAGCAAAGGCCUGCUUUGAACACUCUAAUUUUUUCAAAGUAAAAGUCCUGGUUCCCCAACACACCCAGUGAAGGGCAUGAGGUUCUCCAGAAGGAAAGGCCCGGCCGGACAAGUACACGCGGUGAGGCGGACCUGCCAGCCAGGCCCAAGUUUCAACUACGAGCUUUUUAACUGCAACAACUUUAAUAUACGCUAUUGGAGCUGGAAUUACCGCGGCUGCUGGCACCAGACUUGCCCUCCAAUUGUUCCUCGUUAAGAGGUUUAAAUUGUACUCAUUCCAAUUACAAGACCCAAAAGAGCCCUGUAUCAGUAUUUAUUGUCACUACCUCCCCGUGUCGGGAUUGGGUAAUUUGCGCGCCUGCUG
rnacentral:rRNA from 4 species